UACGUAGGGGCCUAGCGUUGUCCGGAUUUAUUGGGCGUAAAGAGCGCGCAGGCGGUCGGCCAAGUCGAGUGUGAAAGCCCCCGGCUCAACUGGGGAGGGUCACUUGAUACUGGUCGACUCGAAGGCGGGAGAGGGAAGUGGAAUUCCCGGUGUAGUGGUGAAAUGCGUAGAUAUCGGGAGGAACACCAGUGGCGAAGGCGACUUCCUGGCCCGUUCUUGACGCUGAGGCGCGAAAGCUAGGGGAGCAAACGGG
rnacentral:rRNA from 1 species